UGUGGGAGCGGGCUUGCUCGCGAAUGCGCAGUGUCAGUCGCCACAUGUGCUGGCUGACCCACUGCUUUCGCGAGCAAGCCCGCUCCCACA
rnacentral:misc_RNA from 1 species